rnacentral:rRNA from 1 species
GCCUUCGGGUUGUAAAGCACUUUUAUCAGGAGCGAAACGCUGUCGGCUAAUACCCGGCGGAACUGACGGUACCUGAGGAAUAAGCACCGGCUAACUUCGUGCCAGCAGCCGCGGUAAUACGAAGGGUGCAAGCGUUAAUCGGAAUUACUGGGCGUAAAGCGUGCGUAGGCGGUUAUUUAAGUCUGUUGUGAAAUCCCCGGGCUCAACCUGGGAAUGGCAAUGGAUACUGGAUAGCUAGAGUGUGAUAGAGGAUGGUGGAAUUCCCGGUGUAGCGGUGAAAUGCGUAGAGAUCGGGAGGAACAUCAGUGGCGAAGGCGGCCAUCUGGAUCAACACUGACGCUGAGGCACGAAAGCGUGGGGAGCAAACAGGAUUAGAUACCCUGGUAGUCCACGCCCUAAACGAUGCGAACUGGAUGUUGGUCUCAACUCGGAGAUCAGUGUCGAAGCUAACGCGUUAAGUUCGCCGCCUGGGGAGUACGGUCGCAAGACUGAAACU